rnacentral:rRNA from 1 species
UAAAAUGAGAGUUUGAUCCUGGCUCAGGACGAACGCUGGCGGCGUGCCUAAUACAUGCAAGUAGAACGCUGAGGACUGGUGCUUGCACUGGUCUAAGGAGUUGCGAACGGGUGAGUAACGCGUAGGUAACCUACCUCAUAGCGGGGGAUAACUAUUGGAAACGAUAGCUAAUACCGCAUGACAAUAGGGUACACAUGUACCCUAUUUAAAAGGGGCAAAUGCUUCACUAUGAGAUGGACCUGCGUUGUAUUAGCUAGUUGGUAAGGUAACGGCUUACCAAGGCGACGAUACAUAGCCGAC